UACGUAGGGGGCAAGCGUUAUCCGGAUUUACUGGGUGUAAAGGGAGCGUAGGCGGCCAUUCAAGUCAGGUGUGAAAACCCGGGGCUCAACUCCGGGACUGCACUUGAAACUGAGUGGCUCGAGUACAGGAGAGGCAGGCGGAAUUCCUAGUGUAGCGGUGAAAUGCGUAGAUAUUAGGAAGAACACCGGUGGCGAAGGCGGCCUGCUGGACUGAGACUGACGCUGAGGCUCGAGAGCGUGGGGAGCAAAC
rnacentral:rRNA from 1 species